rnacentral:piRNA from 1 species
UGAGAACAGCCUUUUGCAUUACAUGGGA